GAUUUCUGGCUUGCAACCUUAAGCCGGCCACGGUUUCGUGUGUUAGUGCUUGAGUUUCUGGCCAUCCUUCCAAUCGCUAUUCAUUCAUCUUCAUUGGUGGGUGAGUGGUAUUGGAUCUUUUACUUUGAAAAAAUUAGAGUGUUUCAAGCAGGCUUUAUGCUAUGAAUACAUUAGCAUGGAAUAAUAAUUUAGGACUUCGGUUCUAUUUUGUUGGUUUCUAGGACUGAAGUAAUGAUUGAUAGGGAUAGUUGGGGGUGCUAGUAUUCAGCGGCCAGAGGUGAAAUUCUCGGAUUCGCUGAAGACUAACUUAUGCGAAAGCAUU
rnacentral:rRNA from 1 species